GAGUUUGAUCAUGGCUCAGAUUGAACGCUGGCGGCAUGCCUUACAUAUGCAAGUCGAACGGCAGCAUGAUCUAGCUUGCUAGAUUGAUGGCGAGUGGCGAACGGGUGAGUAAUACAUCGGAACGUGCCCUGUAGUGGGGGAUAACUAGUCGAAAGAUUAGCUAAUACCGCAUACGACCUGAGGGUGAAAGUGGGGGACCGCAAGGCCUCAUGCUAUAGGAGCGGCCGAUGUCUGAUUAGCUAGUUGGUGGGGUAAAGGCCCACCAAGGCGACGAUCAGUAGCUGGUCUGAGAGGACGAUCAGCCACACUGGGACUGAGACACGGCCCAGACUCCUACGGGAGGCAGCAGUGGGGAAUUUUGGACAAUGGCGAAGCCUGAUCCAGCAAUGCCGCGU
rnacentral:rRNA from 1 species